AUGGAUUUUAGAGAGGAUUUUAAAGAGGACUUUAGAAAGGAAUCAUUAAAGGUUCUCAUUACUAGUCCCAAAGUGUUUUCCAGCUCUCUGUGGCUCUGCUGGUGUUCUGGGACCAUUUUGCUGGACACACUGAAAGCACGCUUCAGCAGUGCAAAGGCACAGUGCUUCCUGAAUUCAGCCCAUCUUCUGGGAUUCAACAAGGAGAACCAAGACUGGAAGACAGUGCUACAGCAGGACAGAGAGUUGAAUACACCCUCCAGAGAAUAUCAGAAGUUUAUAUGUGCUCUCUCAUCUUGCAAACCAGGAUUUGGAGUGGAUCAAUUACGAGAUGACAAUCUAGAAACUUACUGGCAGUCAGAUGGCUCCCAGCCUCAUUUAGUGAACAUCCAAUUCAGAAGAAAAACAACAGUGAAGACAUUAUGUAUUUAUGCGGACUACAAAUCUGAUGACAGCUAUACUCCAAGCAAGAUCUCAGUCAGAGUAGGAAAUAAUUUUCAUAAUCUUCAAGAAAUCCGGCAACUUGAAUUGGUGCAACCAAGUGGCUGGAUUCACGUUCCCUUAACUGAUAAUCAUAAGAAGCCAACUCGUACAUUCAUGAUACAGAUUGCUGUUCUAGCCAAUCAUCAGAACGGAAGAGAUACCCACAUGAGACAAAUUAAAAUAUACACACCCGUGGAAGAAAGCUCCAUUGGUAAAUUUCCUACAUGUACAACUACUGAUUUCAUGAUGUAUCGCUCAAUAAGGUGACCUUGAAAUAGAACAAGUCAUUAAACAUAUCUUUAUCUUGUCAGUAAAUAUUAAAUCUGGUAUCUUUAUUGAAAAAUGCAUCAAUUAUUUUGCAAUUUUUUAAUGCAUUGAAAAAUAUUUUAUUGUAAGUUUAAUAAAUAACUUUUGGG